rnacentral:tRNA from 1 species
GCGGGAAUAGCUCAGUUGGUAGAGCAUAACCUUGCCAAGGUUAGGGUCGCGAGUUCGAGUCUCGUUUUCCGCUCAA